ACCUGUGUGAUCUGCCAGGCAAGCAACACAAGUCAUUGUACUGCUACAUGCCUGCUACUGAGAUAGGAACAAAGAGAGGCUGGUCCUGCCUCUUGGUGCUCUCCGCUGGACACAUCUGCUGGGCAGUACUGGCUUUUACCACAGGAGCUGCUGCCGCCGCCCUGAAAACCGAGCCAAGCUCACCUUCCAAACGAGAGUCCUGGGUGGAUAAAUUGUCCAGCGCCUCACCCUGUGUCCGUCCUAGGGCGGAGAAGAGAGGUCAGCCUUUGGCGGAGAAGAGAGGUCAGCCUUGACCACAGCAUGAAGACAACAGGAAGCGUAUGAGCAGCUCUUGGUGGUGGAGACCUCAGGAGGGAGGAGUUGGCUUUUCAUAUUUACCAAGGACUCAUUCUCCCCUCCCUGUCGUUGGGACAUGAAGUAGUUCCAUUGUAAACUUGUCUGGUGGUAGAGUCGGAGGCUGGAGCUCAGAGCCUUGGGAGCCUCCUGCCGCUGCCUUGCUGUGUGUCUCGGGGCAGGUUGCUUCCCCUCUCUGAGCUCACCAGCAACCAGAUUCAGAUGGUCUAGAGGACUGAUGAGUGUUCCCCUGGUUCUUCCAGGGGACAUUGGGGCGACAUGGGCAGCCCCGGAAGGAAACUUGUUCCUUGAACUUUGAUACACAUUCUGAGAUCUGAACCUGCAGGUGGAGGCCAAGGAAAAAACCUAGUGAGCCCAGGGUGGGGUGUGCAAUGGCAUCCAAGGAUGUGGAGCAAGAAGACAAGGCAUAGACCAGGCCUGAGCCGAGGCCUCAAGUUCCCUUAGCCCUACCUCAAGGGGGGCUGAACUGCUGCCUAGUGACUGGGGCUGGAAGCUGGCAUUGAGCCCAUGCCAUCCAUUUGUCAUGGUUUGCUGUAAAUAGAAUCAUAUUGUUCACUAUUUAGUACGCUGUAAAUAAAAUGGUAGUAAUAUUUUCAUUAUUAACAACUUGGACACGGUGCUAGUGACUGUGUGUGUGUUUU
rnacentral:lncRNA from 1 species